GACCCCCUGCCGUGUUCGUGAUGGGGUAGGUUUCCUUGAACCAACGUCGAAUGAUAGGGAGCCCUUACACUGGCGCGGUGUGCACGCCCUGAGCCUGUCGAAGGGAAGCCUGAAGCGCAUGCGGGGCACCCACCUGCGAGGGCAGGUUCAUAAGGAAACCCCCAGACGGCACCGAGGUGGGGGGUAU
rnacentral:other from 1 species